AAGAUCAUACUUUUAGAUAUAAUUUCUGUAUUAUGCAACGCCGGGAAUUCAGAAAUAUAUGUCUGGACCUAAACCAAAGAUGAAAAGUAAAAGACAUUUCUCAGCAUGAAGGUGGUAGAGGCUGUUCUCGGCUUAGUGGAGUCAUGCCUUUGAUUCUUAAAGACUGUUACUCUCCUCCUAAUAUAGGUAGUAGGAGGAGUCAGACAUAUUCUGAGUGGU